rnacentral:rRNA from 1 species
UGCGACCCAGGUCAGGUGGGGCUACCGCUGAGUUUAAGCAUAUCAAUAAGCGGAGGAAAAAAACUUACAAGGAUUCCCUUAGUAACGGCGGCGAACGGGAAGAGCCCGGCUUGAGAAUCGGGUGGCAAAGCCAUCAAUUAUGUCUGUAAAGUGACCUCAGGGCGGACGGACCAGGUCCCCUGGAAGAGCGCCGAGAGAGGUGAAACCCGUCGUGUUGGACCCUGUCAACCACGAGCCUUGUCGGCGAGUCGGGUUGUUUGGGAAUGCAGCCAAAUCGGGCGUAAAUUCCGUCAAAGGCUAAAUCUGAGGCGAAGACCGAUAGCAAACAAAUACCGAGGAAAGAUGAAAAGGACUUUGAAAAGAGAGUCAAAGUGCUUGAAAUUGUCGGGAGGAAGCGAAUGGGGCGGCGAUGCGCCUCGAUCGCAUGGAACGGUCAAGGUCGGUCCGAUCGACUUCGGCGUGGACCGGCGGAUUGAGGCGGCAUCCUAAGCCCGGUUGUUGAUAUUCCGGCGGAGAUGGUGUCUCCUCGAUCGUGGAGGCAGCAGCGCUGGCGUGCCGGCACCUGCGUGCUCAGGCGUCGGCUGCGGGCUCCCAUUCGACCGUCUUGAAACACGGACCAAGAGUCGACAUGUGUGCGAGUCAGCGGGUAAAUAAACCCAUGGCAAGGAAGCUGACUUGGCGGGAUCCCCGAUGGGUUGCACCGCCGACCUUGAUCUUUUGAGAGGGGUUGAGUGUGAGCAUGCUGUCGGGACCGAAAGAUGGUGAACUAUGCUGGCGAAGCGAGAAACUUCGGUGGAGGCCAGCGAUCUGGCGAUGCAAAUCGUUCGUCGACUUGGGUAUAGAGGCGAAAGACUAAUCGAACCAUCUAGUAGCUGGUUCCCUCAAGUUUCCCUCGGGAUAGGCUGGAGCUUCGAGGCGAGUUCUAUCAGGUAAAGCCAAUGAUUAGAGGCAUCGGUAUGAUGCCCUCGACCUAUUCUCAAACUUUAAAUAGGUAGGGCGGCGUGGCUGCCGUUGAGCCGCCAUGGAAUCAAACUCCAAGUGGGCCAUUUUGGUAGCGAAGCUGGCGAUCGGGAUGAACGGAAGUCGGGUUCUGAUUGCCUAACUAUCGCUAACCUAGAACCCACAAAGGGUGUUGGUCGAUUAAGACAGCGGGGCGGUGGUCAUGGAAGUCGAAAUCCGCUAAGGAGUGUGUAACAACUCACUGCCGAAUCAACUAGCCCGAAAAUGGAUGGCUGAAGCGUGACCUACCCGACCGUCGUGGCGAUUGCUGAGGCCUCGAUGAGUAGGAGAAGCGGCGGUCGCAAAACUGAGGCGUGAGCGGCGGGCGUCCGUCGGUCGCGGAUCUUGGUGGUAGUAGCAAAUAUUCAAAUGAGAACUUUGAAGGCGAAGAGGGAAAGGUUCCAUGUGAGCGGCACUUGCACAUGGGUUAGUCGAUCCUAAGAGGCGGGGAAGCCGUCCGAUAAGCGUGCACCGAGCUUGAAAGGAAUCGGGUUAAAAUUCUGAGCAGGGAUGUGGCGGCUGGCGCGUUAGGGAGUCGGAGAGCGUCGUCGAGGCCUCGGGAAGAGUUAUCUUUUACGUUUAACAGCCUGCCCACCACGAAGCGGUUUAGCGGAGGUAGGGUCAGCGGCUGGAACAGCACCGCGUGGUGUCAGUGCGCCCUCGGCGACCGAAAAUCCGGAGGACGAGUGCCUUCCACGCCCGGUCGUACUCAUAACGCAUCAGGUCUCCAAGGUGAACAGCCUCGGUCAAUGGAACAAUGUAGGCAAGGGAAGUCGGCAAAAUGGAUCCGUAACCUCGGGAAAAGGAUUGGCUCGAGGCUGGGGGGGGGUCCCUGUCCCGAACCCAUCGGCUGUUGGUGGACUGCUCGAGCUGCUCCAGGCGAGCGAGCGUGCCGUCGAGACGGGGGGAGCGGCUCUUCGGGGCCUUCCGGGCGUCGAACGUCGGCUGAAUGCGGACAAGGGAAUCCGAUGUUUAAUUAAAACAAAGCAUUGCGAUGGUCCCAGCGGAUGCUAGCAAUGUGAUUUCUGCCCGGUGCUCACGAAUGUCAAAGUGAAGAAAUUCAACCAGCGGGUAAGCGGCGGGAGUAACUAUGACUCUCUUAAGGUAGCCAAAUGCCUCGUCAUCUAAUUAGUGGCAUGAAUGGAUUAACGAGAUUCCCACUGUCCUGUCUACUAUCCAGUGAAACCACAGCCAAGGAGCGGGCUUGGCGAGAAUCAGCGGGAAAGAAGACCUGUUGAGCUUGACUCUAGUCCGACUUUGUGAAAUGACUUGAGAGGUGUAGGAUAAGUGGGGCGGAGGCGGCAAAAGUGAAAUACCACUACUUUUAGCGUUAUUUUACUUAUUCCGUGAAUCGGAGCGGGGCUCUCGCCCUCUUUUAGAACAAGGCGCUUCGUGCAUCGAUCGGCGGAAGACAUUGUCAGGUGGGGAGUUUGGCUGGGGGCACAUCUGUUAAAGAUAGCAGGUGUCUAAGAUGAGCUCAGCGAGCAGAAAUCUCGUGUGGAACAAAAGGGUAAAAGCUUCGUUUGAUUCGAUUUUCGAUGCAGUCUGAACCGUGGCGUGGCCUAUCGAUCCUUUAGAACUUGAAUUUGAAGCUAGAGGUGUCGAAAAAGUUACCACGGGAUAAGCGGCUUGUGGCAAUAGCGUUCAUAGCGGCGUUGCUUUUGAUCGCCGAUGUCGGCUCUUCCUAUCAUUGUGAAGCGAAUUCACCAAGUGUUGGAUUGUUCACCCACCAAUAGGGAGCGUGGUGGGUUUAGACCGUCGUGAGACAGGUUAGUUUUACCCUCGAUGAUAAGCGUCGCAAUAGUAAUUCAACCUGAAUGCGAGAGGAACCGUUGAUUCGCUGGUGGUCAUCGGCUUGGUUGAAAAGCCGAUGUGGCUACCGUCGUUGGAUUAUGGUGAGCGCCUCUAAGUCGAAUCGGGCUGGGCUAAUACCGAUGCAUGUGCUUUCGCCGUUCGUUUGCCGACCCUCGGUAGGGGCUUUGGCGCCCCAAAGGCGAUGUCGAAGCGAGUCGGUAUGGAUAAACCCGUCGGCCUUAAAGUACAAUUUCUCCCGGGCGGGUAGAAUCCUUUGC